rnacentral:rRNA from 1 species
UACGUAGGGGGCUAGCGUUGUCCGGAAUCAUUGGGCGUAAAGCGCGCGUAGGCGGCCCGGUAAGUCCGCUCUGAAAGUCCAGGGCUCAACCCUGGAAAGCGGGUGGAUACUGCCGGGCUAGAAUCCGGAAGAGGCGAGUGGAAUUCCGGGUGUAGCGGUGGAAUGCGUAGAGAUCCGGAAGAACACCGGUGGCGAAGGCGGCCUGCUGGGCAGUAGCUGACGCUGAGGCGCGACAGCGUGGGGAGCAAACAGG